GACGAACGCUGGCGGCGUGCCUAAUACAUGCAAGUCGAACGCUUCUUUCCUCCCGAGUGCUUGCACUCAAUUGGAAAGAGGAGUGGCGGACGGGUGAGUAACACGUGGGUAACCUACCCAUCAGAGGGGGAUAACACUUGGAAACAGGUGCUAAUACCGCAUAACAGUUUAUGCCGCAUGGCAUAAGAGUGAAAGGCGCUUUCGGGUGUCGUUUAUGGAUGGACCCGCGGUGCAUUAGCUAGUUGGUGAGGUAACGGCUCACCAAGGCCACGAUGCAUAGCCGACCUGAGAGGGUGAUCGGCCACACUGGAACUGAGACACGGUCCAGACUCCUACGGGAGGCAGCAGUAGGGAAUCUUCGGCAAUGGGCGAAAGUCUGACCGAGCAACGCCGCGUGAGUGAAGAAGGUUUUCGGAUCGUAAAACUCUGUUGUUAGAGAAGAACAAGGACGUUAGUAACUGAACGUCCCCUGACGGUAUCUAAACAGAAAGCCACGGCUAACUACGUG
rnacentral:rRNA from 1 species